rnacentral:lncRNA from 10 species
UAGACCGGGAAGGGAAGAACCACUCUAGGGAGCAUGCGUACAACUCCAGUAAACACACUGCGCCUACGGCCUCUCCCAAACGCUAGUAGGCCACUGCGCAUACAGACGGCGCACCCUCCAGGGAAAAAUCAGGAAAUCAGGGACACAAGACCCCAGAAGUAUGCCAAUAUACUAAACCAAACGUGGACUCCCACCAAAUGGAUCCAUCAGCAGGGAGACCUCAGGAAAGAGAGAAUUUGGGGACUGAACUCUGACUGUGAUUCUUUUUUCUUCCUGAGGGGCCUGGAGCUCACACCUGUGAGCUGGAGCCAGUAUUCUUUUAUGCUGACCCCAAAUGUUUAAACAAAGCUUAUCAUCCUAAACCAAUUGCAAAUCAGAAAAUUUUUGAAGCUACCUAUGACCUGUAAGCCCCCACUUCAAGAUAUUCCACCCUUUUAGGCCAAAACCAAUGUGUACCCUCCAUGUAUUGAUUUAUAAUUUUGCCUCCAAUUUCUGCUUUCCUGAAAUUUACCUGUCUUUAAAAACCCUUACCUCCCAGUCAUUGGGGAGUUCAGAAUUUAAGCAUUAACUGUCUGAUCCUUUCUUCUUGGAGCCCUGCAAAUAAACACCUUUCUUUCUACCAAUGCAAACCUCAGUGUAGAUAUAUGAUCUUACUGCACCAGCCAAGCAGACCCCGGUUUGGUCUGCAACUUUUUUUUUUUUUUUUUGGGAGGAAGUCUCACUCUCACCCAGGCUGGAGUGCAGUGGUGCAAUUGGUGCAAUCUCGGCUCACUGCAACCUCCGCCUCCUUGGUUCAAGCAAUUCUCCUGUCUCAGCCUCCAGAGUAGCUGGGAUUACAGGGAUACACCACCAUGCCCAGCUAAGUUUUGUAUUUUUAGUAGAGACAGGGUUUCACCAUAUUGGUCAGGCUGGUCUCCAACUCCUGUCCUCAAGUGAUCCACCUGCCUCGGCCUCCCACAGUGCUGGGAUUACAGGCGUGAGGCACCACGCCCAGCCUUGUUCUGUAACAUUUUUAGUGACUUAGUU